UACGGAGGGUGCAAGCGUUAUCCGGAAUCACUGGGUUUAAAGGGUGCGUAGGCGGGGGAUUAAGUCAGUGGUGAAAUGUAGUCGCUUAACGACUAACGUGCCAUUGAUACUGGUUUUCUUGAGUUAUAGUGAGGUUGGCGGAAUGAGACAUGUAGCGGUGAAAUGCUUAGAUAUGUCUUAGAACACCGAUUGCGAAGGCAGCUGACUGGCUAUAUACUGACGCUGAGGCACGAAAGCGUGGGGAUCAAACAGG
rnacentral:rRNA from 1 species